GCCAGGCGUGGUGGCGCACGCCUGUAAUCCCAGCUACUCAGGAGGCUGAGGCAGGAGAAUCGCUUGAACCCAGGAAAUGGAGGUUGCAGUGAGCCAAGAUCGUGCCACUGCACUUCAGUCUGGGCAACAGAGCAAGACUCUGUCUCAA
rnacentral:SRP_RNA from 1 species